AGCGAACGUUAGCGGCAGGCCUAACACAUGCAAGUCGCACGAGAAUCCGGCUUCGGUCGGUAGUAAGGUGGCGGACGGGUGAGUAACACGUGGAUAAUCUGCCCUUCGGCGGGGGACGAACAGUCCGAAAGGAUUGCUAAUACCGCAUACGUCAGCGAGGUCCUCGGACCUUGUUGGGAAAGAUGGCCUCUUCAUGAAAGCUAUCACCGAAGGAUGAGUCCGCGGCCCAUCAGCUAGUUGGCGGGGUAAUGGCCCACCAAGGCUUAGACGGGUAGCUGGUCUGAGAGGAUGAUCAGCCACACUGGAACUGAGACACGGUCCAGACUCCUACGGGAGGCAGCAGUGGGGAAUAUUGGGCAAUGGGCGCAAGCCUGACCCAGCCAUGCCGCGUGAGUGAUGAAGGCCUUC
rnacentral:rRNA from 1 species